AAUUCCCUUCCUGUGCUUCUAGACUGUGUUACUCUCUUUUUAUACUCUGUGCUACAACCAUCCUGGUCAUGUUUCAGUUCCUCCAGCAAGAGGAUAUGAUAUGAGAACGUAUCAUAUCCUUCAUUCAGGAAUGACUGGUGACCUCUUCCUGGGAUUUAAAUCCCAACUCUAUCAAUAAACCCAUGACUGCUUUUCUUGUCAGCUGGUCUCCUGGUUUGAAGCUGUUGGCAGAAGCUGUGCCUUCAAGUUUACUAGGGCCCAUCCUUUGCCUUCUGGUGGAACAUUCCCUUGAGGAAAUCAGGACCUGUAGACCGCAGGACUUAAGAUAAUCGUUAUGAGCCUAACAGCGCUCCUGCACUGAUUCCCCAGCUUCACAACCUGGUCUCUAUGCCUACCAGCUGAUGGAGAAGGGUCUCUGCUCAGAGCC